UAACCGUAAUAUAAGACUGGAAUAACUCCGGGAAACCGGGGCUAAUGCCGGAUAAUAUUUAGAACCGCAUGGUUCUAAAGUGAAAGAUGGUUUUACUAUCACUUAUAGAUGGACCCGCGCCGUAUUAGCUAGUUGGUGGGGUAAUGGCUUACCAAGGCAACGAUACGUAGCCGACCUGAGAGGGUGAUCGGCCACACUGGAACUGAGACACGGUCCAGACUCCUACGGGAGGCAGCAGUAGGGAAUCUUCCGCAAUGGGCGAAAGCCUGACGGAGCAACGCCGCGUGAGUGAUGAAGGUCUUCGGAUCGUAAAACUCUGUUAUUAGGGAAGAACAAAUGUGUAAGUAACUGUGCACGUCUUGACGGUACCUAAUCAGAAAGCCACGGCUAACUACGUGCCAGCAGCCGCGGUAAUACGUAGGUGGCAAGCGUUAUCCGGAAUUAUUGGGCGUAAAGCGCGCGUAGGCGGUUUCUUAAGUCUGAUGUGAAAGCCCACGGCUCAACCGUGGAGGGUCAUUGGAAACUGGGAAACUUGAGUGCAGAAGAGGAAAGUGGAAUUCCAUGUGUAGCGGUGAAAUGCGCAGAGAUAUGGAGGAACACCAGUGGCGAAGGCGACUUUCUGGUCUGUAACUGACGCUGAUGUGCGAAAGCGUGGGGAUCAAACAGGAUUAGAUACCCUGGUAGUCCACGCCGUAAACGAUGAGUGCUAAGUGUUAGGGGGGUUUCCGCCCCUUAGUGCUGCAGCUAACGCAUUAAGCACUCCGCCUGGGGAGUACGACCGCAAGGUUGAAACUCAAAGGAAUUGACGGGGACCCGCACAAGCGGUGGAGCAUGUGGUUUAAUUCGAAGCAACGCGAAGAACCUUACCAAAUCUUGACAUCCUUUGACAACUCUAGAGAUAGAGUCUUCCCCUUCGGGGGACAAAGUGACAGGUGGUGCAUGGUUGUCGUCAGCUCGUGUCGUGAGAUGUUGGGUUAAGUCCCGCAACGAGCGCAACCCUUAAGCUUAGUUGCCAGCAUUAAGUUGGGCACUCUAAGUUGACUGCCGGUGACAAACCGGAGGAAGGUGGGGAUGACGUCAAAUCAUCAUGCCCCUUAUGAUUUGGGCUACACACGUGCUACAAUGGACAAUACAAAGGGCAGCUAAACCGCGAGGUCAUGCAAAUCCCAUAAAGUUGUUCUCAGUUCGGAUUGUAGUCUGCAACUCGACUACAUGAAGCUGGAAUCGCUAGUAAUCGUAGAUCAGCAUGUUACGGUGAAUACGUUCC
rnacentral:rRNA from 1 species